GUGCCAGCAGCCGCGGUAAUACAGAGGUCCCAAGCGUUGUUCGGAUUCACUGGGCGUAAAGGGUGCGUAGGUGGCUUGGUAAGUUUGAUGUGAAAUCUCCGGGCUUAACCCGGAAAUGGCAUUGAAUACUAUUGAGCUGGAGGUUUGGAGGGGGGACUGGAAUUCUCGGUGUAGCAGUGAAAUGCGUAGAUAUCGAGAGGAACACCAGUGGCGAAGGCGAGUCCCUGGACAACACCUGACACUGAGGCACGAAAGCUAGGGGAGCAAACAGGAUUAGAAACCCCGGUAGUCC
rnacentral:rRNA from 1 species